UACGAAGGGGGCUAGCGUUGCUCGGAAUCACUGGGCGUAAAGCGCACGUAGGCGGAUUCCUAAGUCGGUGGUGAAAUCCUGGAGCUCAACUCCAGAACUGCCUUUGAUACUGAAGAUCUUGAGUUCGGGAGAGGUGAGUGGAACUGCGAGUGUAGAGGUGAAAUUCGUAGAUAUUCGGAAGAACACCAGUGGCGAAGGCGGCUCACUGGCCCGGUACUGACGCUGAGGUGCGAAAGCGUGGGGAGCAAACAGG
rnacentral:rRNA from 1 species